rnacentral:misc_RNA from 1 species
GAAGGCUGAGGCCUUUGGUGCGAUCCAAAUGUUUACUCUAUGGUUUGCCCUGAGAGAAGGCGGAGGAAUGCAUCUGAGGUUUUGGUAGAUUUUUGGCGACAGAAAUAGCAUGGCAUAUCGGCAAUGGAAGGUAAGUGAAUGGGAUUUGGGAUUCUGGGAAGAGAUUAAAGAAAAAGACAUACAAAGACUGGGAACAGGCAGAGCAUGAAUGGAGCUACAAACAGAAAUCUCUGUUUUGGCACCACCCAUGCACUGCCUCUUCCCUGGCUUGUGGCUCUUCUUUUUCUGCUUCCUCACUUGUUCUUAUUUCCUACAUAUACUUGAUUCAAAAACCCUGUAAGGAAAAUGUUAGUCUUCAUGUGUGAAAUUUACUGCCUGUGAUGUCAUUAUCAAUAGUGACAAAUUUGCAAUUUUCUUUUGUCUAAUGUAGACUAAUUUUUCCUGAUCCUUUUUACAAUGAAUAUUUUAUUGACCGUUUUCUGAUGAGUUGAUAAGUCAUGGAGAUUGGAGAGAUGAUGUUUGCUGCGGUUCCAUUUUCUGCAUUGGGUCUUGACUUUUCUGACAGAAAGUGCUAAAAUCCAAGUCCUUUGGGCCAAGGGAAAUUUCGUUCCGAGCACGGUGAUGGCUAUGAACUCUUGCUUUCCAGCUAUUGCCAUGUCAAACAAAUUCUCGACUCUUGAGGAGCAGUCUGAGUUGACGAAAUCUACCUGUUCAUUCUAUUUGUUGAAUUCAAAUUCUUUGUUUAUCAACGGAAAUUAAUUCAAAUGAUAUAACAAGUCAAUUUCUGCUUUUGGGCUAAUAAUUACAUUGCCUGAGAAUAAUAAAGAAUCAGUUUUCCAAAUUCAACUGUAAGCUACAUACAGGUUUGGGAUAUGCUGACAACUGCUGUUGCUGCUGCGUUACAGAAUAGAACUUAUGAAACAACUUACAGAGCUUAAGAAAUAAUUCUCCUAUCAUCAAUUAUGUGCAUAUCUUACAUUCUUCCCAGGAAUAGCUCCAACAGGAUGUCUUGCUUUGAUGAAUUACCUUUUAGCCCUAUCAUUCAAUUUAUGUCCAAUUGUACCAGCAAUCUGUAUUCACAGAUUCAAUAACAGCACAUAUUUUAAUGCAAGAACAUCUAUAACUAUAUCCUCUAAAAUUUCUAAGGAAUUUUGAGCCCAUCUACACUAAAUCAUCUUGUUGCUGGUGCUCGCAAAAAUGAUCAACUGCAGCAUGUGUUAUUCGUCACAAUAAGUCGGGUGUGAGAGAUUUGAACUGAUUUCUUUUGAAGGAAAAGUUAUGUACGUCAAAUUUGAAAAAAUGAAACUAAUGUGAGAAAUGAGAAAUGAAUCGCUAUGUUAGAAAGUUAAAAUAAGUAAAUAACAGUACACUUUCAUGGAUGAAGUGAGAGUAGUACAGCAUCGAGUUCAGCUAGACACUGCAGUUACAGAAGAUACAGAGAGAAAAAUGGACAAACGAGCAAAUCUAGUAUCUGCUUCCGGCCUGAAGAUUUCUGCAUUAAGAUGGUUACUUAGAUAUAGUGGAGAAACAUAAUUAAGAUUCUUCGUUAGAAAGAAAAAUGCAAGAACCCAAAAUCACUAACAAAGCUAGAACAGAUUAUUCUCUGCCAGAAUUGCGUUUGUCAGUCAGUAGCCCCUUGGACUAAUGUUGGCUUCAAUUGUUUCGACUUUUGCCCUAGGGGCAUCAAGCCAAAGAAGACAUGAAUACAAAUAUGAUGAAUAGCAAAAUAACUUCAAUGUAAUAUGGCUCUUGAUUGAGCAGAGUGGCAAAACUGGAUUCAUUUAGCUGACUCUAAACAAUUUAAACAAGGAUAACUCAGUGGAGAUGAAUUAGGAAUGCCAAAUUAAAGUAGGCAGGCAUCUUGCAACAAGUGAUUUUAGCAGGGUGCAUACAUCUUCACAAGAAUCAAUAGAAACUAUUAUGAACUAUAUGAGAAACGAAGAAUCCAAUAAAACCUAUAAUUGUUCUCGGAAAAAAAAUAAAACCUAUAAUUGUUUCAUGAAAACAUGACAGGAAAGGGAAAGAAAAGCGAAUCAAAAGCAGAGAUAUGAAACUAAAUCAAUACAGUCCAUCAAGAAAGUAAGGACAUACUUGUGAUCUUCUUCUGUCCAACAUAGAGAUUGAGUACGGUCAACUUGAACACAAGCCCGAGCUUCUUCAACAAGUGUAUGAUCCAAUUCACCCGAUUCUAUACACUUCAAGUCCUCCAAGAGAAUCACAUAAUGUUUUUGCACAUCCUCUGCACUCUUCUUCCCUCCAAGCAUGGAUGCAACCAGUUUCCAUCGAUCAGGGUCUUCUUCAUCAACCACUGCCAAAGCCAGCUCAAACAGCUUGUUCUCUUCCCAGUUCCACCCGCAUAACAUUUUUGGAAAAUCAUCCAUAUUACCAAAACCAGAACAAACUCUUCUUUAUCACUCUAGACUCUUUUCCCGAGGAAAAUAAGGAAGAUCCAGUUGGCCAAAAACAUAAUUAUAGUAUUCAUCGAAGUGAGUGUGAGAAUCUUUUUAUGGUAGUUUGUAUGAUUCUCUUGACCAGAUUCUAACACCCUGAGUCUUUGGGGGCAUGUCAGAUAUGGGAGUUAGAAGCAAAUCUUCUCUUUUUUAAGGGAAUUUGUGUGUGUGUGUGUGUG